rnacentral:tRNA from 1 species
GGAGAGAUGGCCGAGUGGUUUAUGGCGCUGGUCUUGAAAACCAGUGAUGUCGAAAGGCACCGGGGGUUCGAAUCCCUCUCUCUCCGCCA